rnacentral:rRNA from 2 species
GCGGUGUCGGAUUAUUGGGCGUAAGGGCUCGCAGGCGGUUUCUUAAGUCUGAUGUGAAAGCCCCCGGCUCAACCGGGGAGGGUCAUUGGAAACUGGGAAACUUGAGUGCAGAAGAGGAGAGAGGAAUUCCACGUGUAGCGGUGAAAUGCGUAGAGAUGUGGAGGAACACCAGUGGCGAAGGCGACUCUCUGGUCUGUAACUGACGCUGAGGAGCGAAAGCGUGGGGAGCGAACAGGAUUAGAUACCCUGGUAGUCCACGCCGUAAACGAUGAGUGCUAAGUGUUAGGGGGUUUCCGCCCCUUAGUGCUGCAGCUAACGCAUUAAGCACUCCGCCUGGGGAGUACGGUCGCAAGACUGAAACUCAAAGGAAUUGACGGGGGCCCGCACAAGCGGUGGAGCAUGUGGUUUAAUUCGAAGCAACGCGAAGAACCUUACCAGGUCUUGACAUCCUCUGACAACCCUAGAGAUAGGGCUUUCCCUUCGGGGACAGAGUGACAGGUGGUGCGUGGUUGUCGUCAGCUCGUGUCGUGAGAUGUUGGGGUUAAGUCCCCCAACCAGCGCAACCCUUGAUCUUAGGUGCCAUCAUUCAGUUGGGCACUCUAAGGUGACUGCCGGGACGAAGCGGGAGGAAGGGGGGGAUGACAUCGGAUCGUCGUGCCCCGUUAUGACCUGGCUACACACGUGGUGCAAUGGA